rnacentral:ncRNA from 1 species
UAGUUAUGAAGUAGAAGCCGUAUAUCAUUGGUAAUUGGUCCUAAAGUUUCUACACCGAAUCCGUAAAAUUCGGUACUACGGCUAUUUAUUUAAU